UACGUAGGGGGCAAGCGUUGUCCGGAUUUAUUGGGCGUAAAGAGCGUGUAGGCGGCCAUACAGGUCAGCUGUGAAAACUCGAGGCUCAACCUCGAGACGUCGGUUGAAACCGUAUGGCUAGAGUCCGGAAGAGGAGAGUGGAAUUCCCGGUGUAGAGGUGAAAUUCGUAGAUAUCGGGAGGAACACCGGUGGCGAAGGCGGCGAUCUGGGUAGAUACUGACGCUGAGGUGCGAAAGCGUGGGGAGCAAACAGG
rnacentral:rRNA from 1 species